rnacentral:rRNA from 1 species
UACGGAGGGUGCAAGCGUUAUCCGGAUUUACUGGGUUUAAAGGGUGUGUAGGCGGACUUUUAAGUCAGGGGUGAAAUCCCGAGGCUCAACCUCGGAACUGCCUUUGAUACUAUUGGUCUUGAAUGUUGUUGAGGUGGGCGGAACGGGUCAUGUAGCGGUGAAAUGCAUAGAUAUGACCCGGAACACCGAUUGCGAAGGCAGCCUACUGGAGGUUAACCGACGCUCAGGCACGAAAGCGUGGGGAUCAAGCAGG